UACGUAGGGCGCAAGCGUUGUCCGGAAUUAUUGGGCUUAAAGAGCUCGUAGGCGGCCUGUCGCGUCUGCUGUGAAAUCCCGGGGCUUAACCCCGGGCGUGCAGUGGAUACGGGCUGGCUGGAGGCAGGCAGGGGAGAACGGAAUUCCCGGUGUAGCGGUGAAAUGCGCAGAUAUCGGGAGGAACACCGGUGGCGAAGGCGGUUCUCUGGGCCUGUGCUGACGCUGAGGAGCGAAAGCGUGGGGAGCGAACAGG
rnacentral:rRNA from 1 species